rnacentral:lncRNA from 1 species
UGGCAGCUGAGGAAAGUCCCAGCUCCACGGCGAGGAGCGCGCGGGAAAACACCCCGCUGCUGCUGCCGCCGCCACCGCAGCUCCCCCCCCCCGCUUCGUAGGCCAGCUGUAGCGCGCGCACUCGCGCAGUCACGCACACAGAGAGAGGGACAGCAGGACGCUUGCACUGGGAAAACGCGGCACGUGGGGAACUAGCUAUAUGAGGUGGCUUUUUUUACUGCUGGUCCUGCUGCCGCUGAGGCGAGCUUGGCGUUCGCGCUGCUUCUGGAGCCCCCGGUCAACGGCGUGCCUCUCCCUGGGCUUUGCCGAGGAACCCCGCAAACGGGAGAGAGCGGGAGAGAGCCCUUGAAGUGCAGGGAGGGGAGUGCGGAGCGUUAAAGGGGAAGCCCGGCGGCGGCAAAAACCAAGCCAGGAGGAGGAGAACGGCUGGCUGACACAGCGGGCGGGAAUUUCCUCUCUUUUCAGUGAUUGUCGGCUGGUCCAGCACCAGCAGCAGCAGCAGCAGCAGCUCCAUGUGUGUGUUCCCCACAGCGAUGCUUCUCCCGGCGAGGCAGCAGGAUCCGGCUGAGUCUAGCUGGCGCUGAGGGGAGGAAGCGUGCGGGAGGGGCUCCGCGUGUGCAUGCACCAUCCAGCUGGGUUCCUCGGGCAAGGAUGUCCCCGUCCUGAGGGCGCCUGAGGCAGGAGGAAGACGACGACGACGAGGGCUUCACCCGGGAGCUGCCGGGUGGUUGGAAGAGGAGCCGUACUGGCCGGCCUCGGCGGCUUGCCUUUUGCCUCCGCUCUCCGGCGCCGCUGGCUCCCCAGCCGCGGAGACAUCAUGAUCUCCUAGCCGGCUCGCUCCACUCCCUGGCUCGCUGGUUCGCUUCCUCGCUCUCCCGCCCUGCCCCCACCCCUUCCCCUCUCGCCUCCUCUCUCGAUCAAGCCAUGGGAUUACCCGCCGCCACCGGCUGGAAGGGCAGCUGCUGAACUUGUGUCCAGCGACGAGCGCACUCCCCUCCCACCUCAGAGUGCCCGCUUUCCCCAUCCUGGACGGUUUUGGAGGGGGGGAAACUGUUUUGAGCUGGCAGAGCCUCGAACUACAGGGUGGGAGAAAUGCCCUCAACUUGAGUCAAGAUAUCUGCAAGAUUGGAUGACAAUGGCCCAGGUAAGUGUAAUGUUCAUACUUUGAGGUCUUUGUAUAGAAAGAACCAUGUGCUUUCUUCUUCUCCCAGCUCAUUGAGGUGUAGUGUUCUUUUACAGGAAUAAUUUUGA